rnacentral:rRNA from 1 species
AACGAACGCUGGCGGCAUGCUUAACACAUGCAAGUCGAACGAGACCUUCGGGCCUAGGGGCGCACGGGUGCGUAACGCCGGGGAACUUGCCCGUAGGUUCGGAAUAACUCCCCGUAGGGGGUGCUAAUACCGGUUAAUGUCUUCGGACCAAAGAGUUUUGGCCUUUGGAUGGGCCCGCGUUGGUUUGGCCGGUUGGUAGGGUACUAGCCUGCCAAGGCGACGAUGCAUAGCUGGUCUGAGAGGAGGAUCAGCCACACUGGGACUGAGACACGGCCCAGACUCCUACGGAGGGGAGCGGUGGGGAGUAUAAGAGGAUGAGGGAUAACCUGACCCAGCAGUGCCGGGUAAGUGGUGAAGGCCUUAGGAUUGUGAAGCUCUUUUUGACGAGGUGAUAGUGACGGUACCGGGAGAAUAAGCACCGGCUAACUACGUG